AUUGAACGAUGGCGGCAGGCCUAACAAAUGCAAGUCGAGCGGAGCGGCGGCCGGGUGAGUAAUUCCUAGGAAUCUGCCUGGUAGUGGGGGAUAACGUCCGGAAACGGGCGCUAAUCCCGCAUACUAUCAGAUGAGCCUAGGUCGGAUUAUCUAGUUGGUUGUGUAAAGGCCUCGAAAGGCGACAAUCCGUAAAUGGUCUGAGAGGAGGAUCAGUCAAACUGGAACUGAGACAAGGUCCAGAAUCCUACGGGAGGCAGCAGUGGGGAAGAUUGGACAAUGGGCGAAAGCCGGAUCAAGCCAUGCCGCGUGUGUGAAGAAGGUCUUAAGAUUGUAAAGCACUUUAAGUUGGGCGGCGUUACCAACAGAAUAAGCACCUGCUAACUUCGUGCCAGCAGCCGCGGUAAUUC
rnacentral:rRNA from 1 species